GGGAAACCCUGACGCAGCAACGCCGCGUGGGUGAUGAAGGUCUUCGGAUUGUAAAGCCCUGUUUUCUAGGACGAUAAUGACGGUACUAGAGGAGGAAGCCACGGCUAACUACGUGCCAGCAGCCGCGGUAAUACGUAGGUGGCGAGCGUUGUCCGGAUUUACUGGGCGUAAAGGGUGCGUAGGCGGAUGUUUAAGUGGGAUGUGAAAUCCCCGGGCUUAACCUGGGGGCUGCAUUCCAAACUGGAUAUCUAGAGUGCAGGAGAGGAAAGCGGAAUUCCUAGUGUAGCGGUGAAAUGCGUAGAGAUUAGGAAGAACACCAGUGGCGAAGGCGGCUUUCUGGACUGUAACUGACGCUGAGGCACGAAAGCGUGGGUAGCAAACAGGAUUAGAUACCCUGGUAGUCCACGCCGUAAACGAUGGAUACUAGGUGUAGGGGGUAUCAACUCCCCCUGUGCCGCAGUUAACACAAUAAGUAUCCCGCCUGGGGAGUACGGUCGCAAGAUUAAAACUCAAAGGAAUUGACGGGGGGCCCGCACAAGCAGCGGAGCAUGUGGUUUAAUUCGAAGCAACGCGAAGAACCUUACCUGGACUUGACAUCCCUUGCAUAGCCUAGAGAUAGGUGAAGCCCUUCGGGGCAAGGAGACAGGUGGUGCAUG
rnacentral:rRNA from 1 species